GGACUACUGGGGUAUCUAAUCCCGUUUGCUCCCCACGCUUUCGCGCCUCAGCGUCAGGAAUUGCCCAGAGACCCGCCUUCGCCACCGGUGUUCCUCCCGAUCUCUACACAUUUCACCGCUACACCGGGAAUUCCAGUCUCCUCUGCAAUCCUCAAGAACAGCAGUAUCGAUCGACGUUCCUCGGUUGAGCCGAGGGAUUUCACGACCGACUUGCCAUCCCGCCUACGCGCCCUUUACGCCCAGUAAUUCCGAGCAACGCUUGCCCCCUCUGUCUUACCGCGGCUGCUGGCAC
rnacentral:rRNA from 1 species